UUUCCUAGGGUUUACCCAACCUACCGCACGACGCGACCGACCCACUCCGCCACCAUCCAUUUCCGAGCAGGUUCGAGAUUUCGGAACAAAACCAGUCCUUCGCUUUCACGUGAAGAUAUCUUUCCUCUUUCCCAUGUCACAUCCCUUGUUUCCUAGGGUUUACCCAACCUGCCGCGCGACACGACCAACCCACUCCAGCCACCAUCCAUUUCUGAGAAGGUCUGAGCAGAACAAAGGAACAAAUAUUUAUGGCUACUGGCUCUUCAUCAUCAACAUCUUUCACUCGAAGAUGCAUGAGUGAUGCACAACGUAAAUCUCCCCAUAUAUUAUGUUAUUGUGGGUUAAGAGCUAAUCUUUGGACAUCAUGGAAGGAAACCAAUCCAGGAAUGCGAUUUUUUUCAUGCCCAAAAUUUAGAGAAAGGAGAUGUGACUUCUUCUUAUGGCAUGACCCAAAAUUGUCAGAGAGAACUAAGACAAUUAUUAAUGAUCUGAAGAGGGAUAACAACAAAUUGCAGAGGGAGAUUAGUGAACUGAAGAAAUCUAAUAUGUACAUCGAAAGUACAGUUGAUUGAAAUGGUCUCCAGGAGAAUGUAAACAACUCUGUUACUAUGAAAUUAAGUGAUGAAAUAUGUUUAUGGAAUAGGAAGUUUAGAGUUGCUAUGGCUGUAGUUGUGUUUACUUGGAUUGUGAUGAU